rnacentral:rRNA from 1 species
UACGGGGGGUGCAAGCGUUGUUCGGAAUUACUGGGCGUAAAGGGCUCGUAGGCGGCUACUUAAGUCGGAUGUGAAAUCCCCAGGCUCAACCUGGGAACUGCAUCCGAUACUGGAUGGCUUGAAUCCGGGAGAGGGAUGCAGAAUUCCAGGUGUAGCGGUGAAAUGCGUAGAUAUCUGGAGGAAUACCGGUGGCGAAGGCGGCAUCCUGGACCGGCAUUGACGCUGAGGAGCGAAAGCGAGGGGAGCAAACGGG